rnacentral:tRNA from 1 species
GCUGUGAUGGUUCAGGGGUAAAAUUCUGCCUUCCAGGCAGAAGACCCAGGUUUCAUUCCUGGCCAGUGCA